AAGAGGUAUGCUGUCAACAACUAAUCAAAGGCAUACAAAUCUCUGCAGUCUAAAUCCAAAUUGGGUGAUACUCAAAAUCACCUAAUAAUACACCAUGAUGUUUAAUCCAGCUGCAGCAGCAAUCGUGAAGUUUCGUGCUAAGGAAACACAAACACAUAUGAUAUGAUAUGAGUUGGAAAGUACAAUCACUUGCACAGAACAAAAAAAUGUUACUU
rnacentral:misc_RNA from 1 species